rnacentral:rRNA from 1 species
UUAGUAACACGUGGGGAACCUGCCCCAUAGUCUGGGAUACCACUUGGAAACAGGUGCUAAUACCGGAUAAGAAAGUAGAUCGCAUGAUCAGCUUUUAAAAGGCGGCGUAAGCUGUCGCUAUGGGAUGGCCCCGCGGUGCAUUAGCUAGUUGGUAAGGUAAAGGCUUACCAAGGCGAUGAUGCAUAGCCGAGUUGAGAGACUGAUCGGCCACAUUGGGACUGAGACACGGCCCAAACUCCUACGGGAGGCAGCAGGG